rnacentral:lncRNA from 1 species
CAUAUUAAGGAAAAUAAGGAAGUUUAUGAAGGGGAGGCAAGUCCAUAGUCUAUUCCAUUUGUCGUUUCAUUUUUGCUGGUCUUUGAUCCACAAUAAUUAUCUUUAAUGUCAUUUACAUUGAAUCGAACAGUGGGGCUGUUAAAAGGGUGGGCAGGAGUGAUGCUUUUGCCACAGAUUUGAACUUGAGGCAUUGGAGUAUGUUCCACUUCCUAAAUGAGAGGUUCACAAGAAGAAGGAAAUAGUCCAAGUUCGUGGCAUUUCUUGUUUUUCUAUGACACAAAUAAUGAUUACCCUGGCAUGUAUAUACAUGUAGCUGUUUUUUUAGUUGUUUUGUUCUAUGGCUUAGCCAUGAAAUACUCUUAUUUGGGUGCUUUAAAGAUCAUAGUUGGACAAACAUCUCAAUCUUGAAUAUUCAUCUUCUGCAAUCAUUUUGUGCAGAGUGUACCUUAAUUUUUUCUCCAUCGUUGCAUCAGACUGUUCUAUUAUUUAUAUGUGGUGAGUUUCGUUUGAAUUUUGUUUCCUCUUUUGUAUCGACUAAUAUUUCACAUGUAGAGCUAUUUCUUUCUUAUCUCUCGCUCCGAUCUUUUGUAGUUCAUUGUGGGAUGAAUUGAACUGUUUUCAAUACUCUAAAAAUAAGUGUUAUCUAUCUUCUUAUAUUUCAAUACUCUGUUUUAGUUGUUGUUUUCCUUUGGGGUAUGUGUAUGUGUUCGUUAAUAAAAGUCCCUUUCCUUUGUUCUUCUUAAGAAACUAUUUUCAUAUGUCGCAAAAUUGAAUAACAUAGUGCUUUUCGAAGGUUCAAAUUCCAGUGGAGCUAGAUCAAAAUAGUAUAGGUAUUUUUCCCCUAUUUGCUUAAAGUUGGUGAGUAGAGUUGCCAGAUACUUAUGUUGGUUCAUUGUUUAGGUUAGUGUAAGGUGGCUCGGACACUGCAAUUGGACAACGCUAUGAAUAUUCUUUCAUAUUAUCUAACUCCCCAGACAUUCAAAUUUCUCCCAAGAAUAAUAUUACGUCAGUUAUUGCUUUAUAUACUUUGAUAGACAAUAACUUUCCUCCAGGUUGAACUGCUCCAAUGGAUCUAAAAUUUAAAUGACAAGCAAAACAGAUUUUUCACAAAUUACAAGACUAAAAUCUAAUUGAUUUUAUAAGCAACGAGCCAGUGUCGGCAUCCCUUUUUAAGUUUUCCCCUAUUUCCUUGCCCUUUCCCUCAAACUUUAGUCUUCAUUAUACUUUGGAUCUUUAGUCAUUAAAGUUAUCAUGAUUAAAUUGUCGAAUUUAAUGGUGGUUGACUUGACGAAAAUGAAGGUGCAAACUAGAGAUAGUUCAUAUGAUAUAUGACAUGAUAGGAUACUUUUUAUCAGAAGGUGGGUGAUUACAUCUUCAGAAGAUAAUUACUAAACCAAGUAUCAUAUUUUUUAUUCCAAUGAAACCUCAACGUUUUGCCUAGGUAUCAUGAAAGUGGAGCAUCUAAAAGUAUUCUUGGUACUAUAGUAGGGCUUUAGUAUUAUAGUAUACAGACAAAGAGUACAUAUUGUGUAAACAAAAGCAAGAUAAUGAAACAGACAGUAAACAAAAACAGAGAAAACGAGUCGAAACUUUGAGAAGAAAGGGAACUACUUUGCUGCUAGUUUUGUGCUCUGCAACUGUAGAUUUUAUAUGACAAAUACAUAACGUUUAAAGCUAAAAAAAAACUCGAACCACUAACUCCUAAAAAAUAGGAAGUAAAGCCAUGAUAAACUACUCUCUAAAGACUAGGACAAAGCUGAAAUAACUUGACCUUAUUUGCUAGUAGGACUCUAUCUAACGGACUAUUUUUCUAACACCCUCCCUUAAACUGAAAGCAUGUAAGCUUCAGUUUAACUUCAGCUUCUUGAAAUCUUCCAUAGCGUCGAUACCCAUCGACCUCCUCAGAUUUUGAAAAGGGAGAAAUUUGAGAGGUUUGGUAAAAAUGAUGGCCAACUGAUCUUCACUUCGGCAGUACUGCAACUCUAUUAUUCCUUCAUUAUUGAGAUUUCGCAGGAAAUAAUACUUCACAUCAAUGUGUAUGCUUCUUCCAUGGUUCACAGGAUUCUUUGACAACUUGAUGGCUGAAUUGUUGUCGCAAAAUAUUAUAGUGGCUCUUCUCGUCUUGAACUGUAGCUCUUUAAGGAUUCUCCUAAGCCAAAUAGCUUGACAAUCACAAGAUGUAGCAGCAACAAACUCAACUUCUGUACUUGAUAAUGUGACAAUUGUUUGUUUUUUAGAGGACCACGACAACCCCUGCACCUAGCAUAAACACAUAACCCGAAGUACUCUUUCUAUCAUCUUGAUCUCCAGCAUAAUCACUAUCAGUAAAGCCAACCAAAACUGACUUUUCUCCUUUCAUGUAGAAAAUUCCAAAAUCCUUAGUUCCUUGUAGGUAACGCAGAAUUCUCUUAGCAGCUAGGAGAUGCAUUUCAGUCGGGCACUCCAUAUAUCUACUUGCAAGACUAACAACAUACAUGAUGUCUGGUCUUGUAGCAGUUAGAUACAUUAAACUACCGAUAAUUUGCUUGUAAAAUGUGCUAUCCACCUUUUUUCCGCUCCCAGCUUUGUUAAGUUUCAAACCAAACUCAACUGGAAUGUUGGCUGGAUUGCAAUUCUGCAUCUCAAACCUAUUUAAAAUUUCUCGCACAUACUUCUUUUGAGAAACAAAUAUCCCUUCAUCAGAUUGCACCAUUUCUAAACCAAGAAAAUAAUGCAUCUUACCAAGAUCGGACAUCUCGAAUUCAUUCAUCAUACACUUCUUGAAUUCAUCAAACAUGACACUACUAUUCCCCGUGAAUAUAAGAUCGUCAACAUAUAAGCACGCGAUGAGCAUUUUUCCGUUCUCCCCAAUUUUCACAAAAAGCGUGUGCUCAUAUGAACACUUUUGAAAACCCAUUUUCAAAAAAUAAGCCUCAAUGCGGCUAUACCAAGCUCGUGGAGCUUGUCUUAGUCCAUAAAGGGCUUUCUUUAAUCGAUAAACGUUGUGCUCAUUACCAAUCUUAACAUAACCAUGGGGUUGUUCGAUAAAUACCUCUUCCUCCAAGUAUCCAUGUAAGAAAGCUGAUUUGACAUCUAAUUGGAAUACAUGCCAUGAAUUUUGUGCCGCUAACGCAAUUAGCAUUCUGAUAGUGUCGUGCCUUGCAACUGGAGCAAAAAUUUCAGUGUAGUCCACAUUGUACUCCUGCUUGUAUCCCUUAGCCACCAACCGUGCCUUAUACUUAUCAAUUUCACCAUUUUCUUUUAGCUUCGUCUUAUAGACCCAUUUGACACCAAUGGUUUUUUGCUUCCCAGGAAGAUCAACAAGCUCCCAAGUAUCGUUCUUUUCAAUAGCUUCUAUUUCAACAUCCAUCGCUUUUCUCCAUUUUUCUUCUCUAACAGCACUCUCAAAACUUGUCGGGUCGCAGUCUGCAAAUAAUGCAAAAUGAGUAAUUGCAUCAUCAUUAACAAUAUUAAUUCUUUUUACCUCAUAAUCCACCAUCCACGCGGGCUUUCUAUGAACACGACGAAGAGACUGAGUUGCUGCAUCAGUUUCUUCUAGAGCUGCUGGUAAAGAUUCAACAGUUGGUAAAAUUUCAGCAAGAGCUAAUGGAAUUUCAGUCGCUGCAGGAGCUGAGUUCUCUGCAGUUUCAGACAUUGCAGCUGCUUCUUCGACUCCAAUAUCAAAUACAAAUGGAGCAGAUUGCUACAUACUCCAGUCCCAAGUGCUUUCUUCAUAAAAAAUGACAUCUCUACUGAUUACGAUUUUCUUCGUCCGUGGAUUAAACAAUUUAUAUGCCUUAGAUGCUUCACUAACACCCACAAAGAUACACUUUUCGCUUUUGUCAUCAAGCUUCUUCCUUUUCUCGUCUGGAACAUGUGCAUAGGCAAUGCAACCAAAAAUUCGAAAGUGAUCUACAGAUGGUUUUCUUCCACUCCAAGCCUCCUCCGGCAUCAUGUUUUGAACAGCAAAGUUGGACAUCUAUUCAAUACAUGAACGCUCCAAUUUAUCGCUUCCGGCCAUAAGGUCUUUUCCAUUCUUCCUCUUGCUAGCAAACUCCGCACCAUAUUGAGAAUGGUUUUAUUCUUUCUCUCCGAUACACCAUUUUGUUGUGGUGUAUAAGCAGUGGUAAGCUCUCUUCGAAUUCCAUUAGAUUCACAAAAAUCUUUAAAGACUUUUGAGCAAUACUCGCCACCACGAUCAGUUCGAAGAGUCUUUAUGGCCUUUCCAGUUUCAUUUUCUACAUGAGCUUUGAAGGUUUUAAACACUCCAAAAGCUUCUGAUUUUUCCUGCAAAAAAUACACCAAAGUUUUCCGAGAGUAAUCAUCUGUAAAAGGUAAUGAAAUACCUUUUACCUCCAUUAGAAAUUGGUCUAAUUGGGCCACAAAUAUCUGAAUGCACCAGUUCCAAAAUAGUAUUUUCUCUCCACGACUUCCCUUUUGGAAAUUGAGAACGAUGUUGUUUGCCAACAACACAUUCUUCACAAACUUGGGAGGGGAUGAGAUUUUCUGGAAUGCCUAUCACCAUAUUUUUCUGUUGGAGAGUUUUUAAUCCACCAAAACUCAAGUGACCAUAUCUAAAAUGCCACAACUAGGAAAAAUCUUUCACUUCCGCCUUCAGACAUGAUUUAAUACUCUCAAUGUUCAAGGGAAAUAACCUGUUUGAGUUCAUUUUCACAACAACAAUAGCUCCUCUAGUAGGACUAGAAAUCUCACAAACACCUUUUCCAAUGAGAAUAAAAAACCCUUUCUCUUGCAACUGUCCGACACUCAAUAAAUUGCUUUUUAGAGCGGGAACAUAUAACACAUUUGAUAUUAUUUUCUUCAAAACCAUUCUUGGCUUUAAUUUUAAUAUCACCUUUUUCCAUUGCAUCCACAGUAGAGCAAUCACCAAAACUAACUUUAGAACGAAAGCCUUCAUUUAAAUAAGAAAAGCAAGACUUACUCCCACUCAUGUGAUUACUGCAGCCUGUGUCCAGAUACCAAACAUCUUGCAAAGGUUUUUCAUGUGCUUGUGUUGCCAUCAACAAGGUCUCAGUUUCCUUACUUUCAACAAAAUUUGACUUCUCGUCCUUCUCAUUAGGCAGCCUAGUAUAACAUUCGGAUUGAUAAUGAUCAAAUUUAUGACAUCGAUAACAUUCUACCUUUGAUUUGUCAAAAUUCUUUCCUCGGCCUUUGCCGUAGUCAUCAUUGACCCUAAAAUUUCUACUUCCAUUUCUGUUUCCACGGUCUCCUCUCCCUCUUCAUCUUCCUCUCCCUCUACAUCUUCCUCUAUAAUUGAAAGGAAUAAACGUAGAACCUUUCAGGUCCUGCUCUUCAGGAGUUGAAUUGCGAUUCAUCUUCUGUUCAUGCACUAGUAAGGAACUUUGCAAUUCGUCAAGCGACAACUCAUCUAUAUAUUUUGACUCUUCAAUGGAGCAAACGACAUAAUCAUACUUUGGCAUCAAAGAGCGUAGUAUCUUCUCAACAAUUAUGACAUCAUUCAUCUUCUCACCAUGGAAUCGCAUUUUGUUGCUGAUCUCCAUUGUUCUAGCAUAAUAACUCAUUACAGACUCUCCUUCCUUCAUUUGUAAGGUCUCAAAAUCCCUUCUCAAGGCUUGAAGUUGUGCACGCUUCACUCUGGCAGUGCCUUGAUAUUUUUUCUUCAUAGAAUCCCAAAUAUCCUUACAAAUUUCUUUACAAAGAAUAGUUUCUAGGAUGGGACGAUUGAUAGCCUGAAAGAGAUAGUUCUUCGCUUUCAAAUCUUUCAACUUUUUUGCUUCCAAUUCUGCCUUUUGAGCAUUCGUCAAAGUUUCGCCUUCCGCCGGAGUGUUGAUCCCGUCCUCAACAAUUGGCCAAUACUCCUUUGACUGUAAAAAAUUCUCCAUUAGCAUGAUCCGAUUGUCAUAAUGACCAUCAAAGCGUGAAAUCACUACUUGUAUGAAAGUACUAUCUGAUGCCAUGAGUUAAAACGAAAAGAGGAAAAAAAAGUUUAGCUAAUGCUAUUUUCUUUUCACUCUAGAAUCGCUGCUUCUUUCGUAUUACUGCAGAAUCUCACACUCGCUUUGAUACCACUGUAAACAAAAGCAAGAUAAUGAAACAGACAACAAACAAAAAUAGAGAAAACGAGUCGAAACGUUGAGAAGAAAGGGAACUACUUUGCUGCUAGUUUUGUGCUCUGCAACUGCAGAUUUUAUAUGACAAAUACAUAACGUUUGAAGCUAAAAAAAACUCGAACCACUAACUCCUAAAAAAUAGGAAGUAAAGCCAUGAUAAACUAGUCCCUAAAGACUAGGACAAAGCUGAAAUAACUUGAACUUAUUUGCUUAUAGGACUCUAUCUAACGGACUAUUUUUCUAACAUAUUGAACAACAAUGAGUUGCGUACACUAUUACUAUUUUACCAAGAAGUUAUUUGUCCAUAUUUUUUCAUGCUUUUAAGUUGACAUUCAAUUUUUCCAUUUCUUAUAUUUAACAAAUUUACUCAUUCUUGAAAAAUAAAUGUAUAGUAUGUGUUUGUAUUUUGUGAGAUUUCAUAUCGAUGAAUUGUUGAUAAUUUCCUAUUCUAGAUGCACUGUGACAAGGAAGAAUGAGGUGAGCUAAACGAAGAAACAAUCUCCAAUACUUCUGUCGUACUUCUUUAAAAAAGAAGAAGAUAGAGAAACUAAUCACAAGAUUGUAGUUGCGUUACAUUUGUAAAUCUGCAAUAAUAUCUAUUUAAUACAUAGAUUUUUAUUUUUAUUUUGAAAGUAGCUCAUAAAUAGAUGAGAUAUUAAAAAUUGUCUUUACAACAAUAAUGUCAUGUAAACAAUAUAAAACUCUUAUAGAUGUAAAAAAUGUGUCAUUUUGUAACCAAGUGACAUCAUUAAAUUUUGCACAACUUAAAGAACUUUGUUGUUAAAUGCAUGUAAACAAUAAGAUUCUAGAUUUGUACAUUGUGAGAGUUAAAUAUGCAAAGAUGAAGUGUAAACAACAGCAUGAAGUUUAUUAAGUAUAGUUGUGGAAAGAAGAAUGGUACUUGCUUGUGCUAGGUAAAAUUUGUUGGGAGUGUGAACAUCUUGUCUAUGAUACUGGAAUUUACUUUUAUAGCAAAAAAGUUUCAUUCACUUAAGUAUAUUCUUGCUUUGGGACUAUAUUACUUUUAAAAGUUCCCUCAUAAAAGGAGUUGGAAUUAUUUCAAAACAUAUACCCAUGUUCUUGUGCAACUCUCUCUACCAGUGAUGGUGAUGCAUCUUGCCUGUGAACUCUAUGAUUUAAUGGUUAGCAUGGCCUAAUGCAUGUUGUGUCGCUAAGACUUACUUUUUCUAAUCGUAUUGAUCAGAUUAAAGCAUAAUUAUUGUAAUUCUAGCAUCAUACAUGAUUAUCCUAUUAAUAGCCUUAUUUUCAUUAAUUCCCCAAUUUCCAAGAUAGUUUGGUUAAGACAAGUCAACCUUUAAACCUUAAGAUUAUGCUUGCAUUGGGUAUGUCUAUACAUGAUAUAUGAAUUCCUCUUACUCGAUCUCUUAUUCUCUAUCAUUUUUUUCUAAUUUCUGUUUUAAAUUCUUCCCAUGGUGUGUUGCUCUAUAUAUGGCCCACCAGGCACUGGGAAGACCUUGCAAAUGUUGUAGCACAUCAUACUACCAUGAUCUUCAUAUGGGUAGGCGGUAGCUGGUGGUGGUAUAAUGAUAGUAAAAUAGUUGAGCACUUAUGGAGUUAUCUUUAUUCAGUAAUUUACUUAUUUUAAUUCAAAGUUUUGAUGAUUGCAGGUAAAGAAGCAUUCAGGAAACAACUUAAUCUUACUUUCAAAUCAAAUGCCUAAUAGUAAUAAGUAGUUUAUGCCUUGCAAUACUUGAUUAUGACAAAAUUUUGUAUUAUUUUUGUAUUCUAGCAAAAUAGUUGACCCCUUCUCUCCCAAAUUAGAUCAUUACCCGAGUUUAUAAAAAUGUUUUAUUUAUCCUUGUGGAAUUAUGU